rnacentral:rRNA from 1 species
GACGAACGCUGGCGGCAGGCUUAACACAUGCAAGUCGAACGAGUGGCGGACGGGUGAGUAAUGCUUGGGAAUCUGGCUUAUGGAGGGGGAUCACGACGGGAAACUGUCGCUAAUACCGCGUACCAUAGGAUGAGCCCACGGGGGAUUAGGUAGUGGGGGGGGUAAUGGCCUACAAAGCCGACGAUCUCUAGCUGGUCUGAGAGGAUGACCAGCCAAACCGGGACGGAGACACGGCCAGGACGCCGACGGGAGGCAGCAGUGGGGAAUAUUGGGAAAGGGGGGAAACCGGACGCAGCCAGGCCGCGGGGAUGAAGAAGGCCUUCGGGUUGUAAAGUUCUUUCGGUGAGGAGGCGUUAAUCGCAGAAGAAGCACCGGCUAACUACGUGCCAGCAGCCGCGGUAAUUC